CUGCUGCAUAUCAUUUGUUUGCAGCUUUGCUUUACUCCGUUCUCUUUUGUUAUUUUUCGUGUCAGUGCUGCAGCGGAGCGAGGCGCUGCAAGAAAACCACUCUUUAAUAACUUUGGUACUUUUUAUCAGACACGUCAACAUUUCUGGACGUUCAGCUGAUGGAUUUAUAGCACAUGACGUAAAGUAGCGCAGCAUAUUUAGAACGGAAGCAUCUGGAGCCAAUACAGUUAAACGCCUGUGCCUGCGUGAGAUGAAGCCUUCCGCUGCGAGCGCUCACCGACGCCGUAGCUCACUUUGACGUGCGGACCUGUCUGCGCCACGUGGAGCGCAGAUAAUCCUGAAAACGCGACUGUAGCGGAGGCUGCGUGUGUGACAGAGCUAAAUCAGAACGGUGACAGGCCGGGACCUGCGGGAGCAGCCGGGUGACACACACCAACACGCCCUCUUGUGUCAGUAACCCACUAACGCUAUUAACGCAGGCAGAGGGCGCCUCUCGGCACAAAAUCCAAGAAAUGGGCUCAAAGAUGCGGGGAAAAACGCGCAACUCGUUGCUACACGUGUGCGAAGACGGACUCAUGUCAAACACCGCGUUCGUUCAAGGCACAGCUGAAUGUAAAUGAACAUAUUUGUAGCCUAUGCAUUAAUAACACAUGCAGAUGGUUGGUUCACUGGUUUUAGACAGGGACAAGAUGGUGAAUAAAUACACAACAGUGAGUUGGACCAAUGGACGGUAAGAUUUCAACAAAAUAGAAAGAAGUAGUGAAGGCAGCACAAUCGGGACGGAGAGGAUGUGAUGGAGCUACAGUGAAGGUGGCAGCAUCACACUGUGGAUGUGAUGAGCCUGAUGGAGCUAGACACCAGCAACUGCCUCACAGCUUUCACAAUAACAGGCACAGGCUUCAUCUGACCAGUGCUGACUUCAGAUGUAAUAUUGAAAAGCCCACAAACCCGCUCAAGAAAGAGACAAAACUAGAGAAGGGGAGGAAGAAGUUAACAGAAGACAAGCGAGGAGCUGAUCAGAGGAGGCUCCAGCUUCAGCUCUAUUCACCACGUAUCUGGAGAUGGUUUCAGUUAUGUAUCAGUAGAUGA
rnacentral:lncRNA from 1 species